GGAGCGUAGUGUAGAAGCCGUCUUUCUAUCUCCCCAUCGGUCGGUCGGAACUCGGACUCGUCGCUGCUGUCCGACGGCACUCGCGGGUUAGUCGUCGCUCGAGACCGUGAGCUCGCGCUACUCUGUACGCGUGUGCAUAUAUAUAUAUAUAUAUAGUCGCCGUCGUUUUUCACUACAUCUGCUGCCGCCGCUACUGGCCGAAUAAAAAGCGACUGCAUCAUCUCCCCACCGUUUUUUGAUCUCCCAGCGAGAACACUGCAUCCUCACUUUCGCUGCUGCGCUCUCCUCUCUUUCUCUCUCUCUCUCUCUCUCUCUCUCUCUCUCUCUCUCUCUGUCGCUCGUUUUUCGUCAAUCGCAGCAGGAGUAAUAACCUAUAGCAGCCGACGACGGACGUGCAUGUAUGUAUGUAUGUACAGACAACACGCACACCACUGUGCAGUCUCUUUCUUUCUCUCUAUCUCUCUCGCUCUCCGACUAUUCUCCGGGCGGAAUAUUCACGAAUAGCGCGUGCGUGUGCAGUCUGCUUUCCGUUCGUGCGUCGGCGUCUAUUGCCUCUCUCUCUCUCUCACUCUCUCUCUCUCUCUCUUUCUCUCUCUCUCUCUCUCUCUCUCUCUCUCUCUCUCUCUCUCUCUCUCUCUCUCUCUCUCUCUCUCUCUCUCUCUCUGAGUAUACAGUAUCAUCUAUAUUCUCCAUUUUUAGCUGCGACCGUGCUACGUGUCGUCGCGUCAGCUGUCCCUCUCUCUCUUCCUCGCUGGCUUAUCGGCGCGCUUAUCAGUGUCUCCGUAUCAAUAAUUUCUCCCGACAGUGCGAGAGGAACGAGCGUCGAUCUGCAGAGCUGAGCUGCUAUAUGCGUGUGCUGCGCGUGCGAGUGCGAGCGAAGCAGUAUAUUUUGUGCAGCAAGCGAUUUUCGGCUGGCAAGUGGAUUUCCGGUGUCGAGCGCGAAGACGGGCUCCAGCUCUCUCUCUCUCUCUCUCUCUCUCCUUUGUUCCUCCCGUCCGGCGCGCGCUGCAGUUGCAUCCUCCCUCCCCGGUAUAUAGGUAUAGCAGAGUAAAACAGCGGCAGCGACGACGGCUUGUUGCCAAGGCCGGCCGGAAAUAAGUCGCGAGUCUCCCACUCGCUCGGGAAAGCGAGAGAGCGCGCGCGGAACUUUGAUAAGAAAAAGAAGAAGAAGAGGAGGAGGAGGAUGGUGAUCGCCGAAAACGAUCUAGUGAAAAAGUGUCUCCUCUCUCCGUCUCGCUAUAUCUAAUAUAGAAACGGACUAUUACUGCCGGUGCGGGCAGGAGGCGGGCGCGGCGCAGGGGGAGGCAGCAGCAGCGCGCACAGGCACCGCCGAGGGGCGGGGAGGAGGAGGUCGUCGCCGCGGGGGGAGAGAGAGAGCGAGAGCGAGAGAGAAAGAAGGACCCGGGUGUGCGUGAGGGCAGUGAUCUCUUGGGGAGCGCCGACCUGACACGAACACGGCCGAUGCGGCUGUAGGACCUGCCUCUGCACACUCUCGCCGUAUAAUGCUCCUUGCUCGCAGCAUCUCUCUUCCGCUCCUGUCAUGUGUGUUGUAGAUCGUGUGCAGCUCCACGUCGAGGGACGCAGUCAUCCAGGACUCGCCGUCAGCCGCUUGUGCAGUAGCAGCGCCCGUACAUAAGAAGCCCUGGUCCCAAAAACUCGAGACAAGAUGCGGCCAAGUGGAAGUGGGAUUGUCUUCGAUGGUGUUCGAGCAAUGUUGAGAAUGGUGAGAUUUAGCUGGAACGAAGCGGCAACAGUGACAGCCAGAUGGCAAGAUGGCACGAAAUUGUCAUAAUCAGCUACUUGAUGACACUAACCCGUAGAUCCGAACUUGUGGGCUUUUUUAUAUGCAUACCGCAAGCUCCUAUCUACCGGUACAUGUAGUCAGGCCGGCGUAAAAUUGACAACGAGACUAAAGACCUUCGAUGCACUGCUAACCAACGAUUCAUUCAUAAUUUGAUUCUUUUGUACUCUGACUUGACUCUUUGCUAUGCGGCUUCUACUAUUACAAUCUGCUGUUUCUUCUAUACGCUCAUAUUGUUAUCUUUUUUGAUAAGUUUAAGACUAAUAUAAGUUCAUAUAAUAAUCUGUAAUUGUGAAUUCAAAGUUUACUGCAUGAAAGGUAUAUCGAAGAUACGAUUGAUUCACGAGAUAUAUCAUUUUUCAAGAGCUUCGCGACUAUAUUGGCGAUUUUGAUUGACUAGUAAAAAUGGUAAACUUGUAUUUGAAACGUAAGAUCUUGAUAAACAAGCUCAAUUCUGUACCUGAACAAUUAAUCAAAGUCACACCCUGGUUGACAGCACUAGAAAAAUAAUUGAGACUCCGAUCUAAGAGGUUCGAAGGAUAAGCUAUUCAAAGUUCAAAAUAUCAUGCACUUUAGACUAUUUAUCUAUUCAAAUAAGAGCUUAAAUACUGUGUACCAACACAAUAGAUAAAAAAGUAUUAAAUUUUUAGCUAAAAAAUAUAGUGCCAUAUUUUUAUUGCUGUUAUCUAACAAUGCUAUGCUACUUUACGCUUAUACGAUAUAGUCGAUAUCAAUUAAAAGAGCAUGAAUUGGCAUUAUAUUAUUACUCUGCAGAGACAGUAAAUUUAGAAAAACUUCAAACUAACUGCACUAUAAUAUAAUAUUAUGCUCCGUCUUUUAAUAUCUUCAAUAUAUAUCACUUAAAUUUCAUUGUUCGAAAUCAUUCAGGCUAUAAUGCUCAAAAGUAUAAACAUUACGAAUAAUACCUAUAAACUAAUUACAUAAUUUAUUUUCAUACCUUGCUGGUCCAGCUACCAAUGGUGGAAGGAUCCGAAGCAAAGUUCAUUUAGGAAUUUAGGAAACAUGUCUUCGAGCUUCUUAAGACAUUAUUCGAGUGCAUACAUGUAAGCAAGAGCGAAUGAAAUUGAAUAUUUCAAUUCGACAUUUUGCAGAAUUACAGUGACUGAUGUCAUUUCGAAAAACAUCUUCUCGAAGAUGUGACACGUUGUCAUAUUUAUAAAUGCGUACGAAAAGCACAAAGAGCAGUUAGAAAAAAAUAGCGGCGACGCCUGGGUGAGGUAGUAGGUUGUAUAGUGGGGAAUGAAAAUUCGUCAUUAUGGAAUCCACUGUACAACUUGCUAACUUUCCCGGUUGUCGGCGCCUCGGCGUUGGACUUCGCAAUGAAGAAGAUGCCAGCCUUGCACUAGAAUAUCGUCGCAUAACGCAAAAAUGAAGCAAGAACUGCAGGGAAAAAGUUACUGAUUAAUCAAAGAUGGACCGGAUGUGCUCCCACUACCCCCUGUCAAAAGAUGAUAAAGAACGCGCACACAUAUACCUAAUUGUUGUUAAAUAUGUACCAUAAAAGUUUGUUAUAAUUUUUUAUAUAUGAGCCAUUACUGGAUACCUGUUUAAGUAUAACGAUUUUUCUCCGCACCUGCACCGAAAGUACCACAUUCCCUCCCGGGCGCCUGGAGAGGAAUGUGCAUUUUCGGUGCUGGUGUGAAGAAAAAUAAUAUACGCACCAUGGGAGGAAAAUUGAACAGCCCAUAUCUCGUGUUUGCCAUUUACGAGAUAUGGACUGUCCAUAGGCACGUAAUAUACUAUCAUGUACGCAGACGUAUGUUUGUUUAGAAUACAACAUACUACAACGUUUUAAAUAUUCCUUAUAUUGUUGAAUAUACUCUAUAUUGAUGUUAUGGGACGUAUGUAUAAUGUAUAUACAUUGUGUGCGUAUAUAGAUCGGAAGCGUAAACUGAGACUGUGUAUUGCUCAUACUGAAUGUUUCAUACAUUCAAUCUAAAAUUUUGCCAUGCGUAGCUAAAAGCGUUGAUUAUGUACCGAUCAAUACAUCGUGUUGAAUGGUAUACUGAUCAUAUAGAUGUUGGUAUGAGUAUCAAUACUGUAAUAUUAAAAAACAUGUUAAAGUUUUGUUGUUAUAAAUAAAUGAUCUAAUGAGAGAAAAAGCGAAUAAUUAUUAUGAAAAUUGUUUUUUCAAUAAUUUAUAGAAAUUUAUAUCAAUUGCAUUUCAAAUAAUUACAGUAUUGAGAUGAAAAUAUAAAGUAACCAUUUUUCGUUAGUCAAUGAAAAUAAAUACUGUAAUCCAUUUACGUCUCGGUAAGUAAGUAAUAUUAAAAAAAAAUCGAAAAUAAGUUAUGCAAAGAAAAUUUUUGUGAACGUAAACAGCCGUAUGAAAACUCAAACUGACCUGCAUUUCGUGUAGCUGGUAAAUCCAUACAUUAUUAUUGCAUUCAACUUAGUGCGUCAUACAGUCCAGUAUAUAAUAAUAUUUUCAGUACAAUAAAUGCCCAAUAAGGAAAAUGUUGAUAAUCAAUUAUGACCGCAAACUAUUGAUCAAACUUUUAAAUCGUGUGUGAAACUUAAAAAGCUCGUAAAGCGUGACAAGACAAAGGUAUUGGCCAACGAAGAGUGGUAAAAUCGAUAGUCUGAGAGAGAGAGAGAGAGAGAGAGAGAGAGAGAGAGAGAGAGAGAGAGAGAGAGAGAGAAAAUCCGAAUGCGACUCCACAGGGGGUAUGAAAGAGUAAAGAGCGAAUGUGAGCCAGAAGAAAAAUUUGGCAAUGUGGCUGGCGGGCAAAUUGAAUAAAGCCUGCCGCCGCGUCGCCGGUUCCCUGAGACCCUAACUUGUGACGUCGCGUACGAUAUCUCACAGGCUAGAUUCUCUGGUAUUGGCGAUGAGUGCUGCCUUUUGACAGAUCAAAAGUCAGUCCUUACAUCAUUAUUUCUUACCUAAAGACGCAUAAUUAGAAAUGUUACGAUAAGCUUGAUUAAUUUGCACUUUUGUGCAAGCGCUUACUUCUAAUACACAUUUUAUUCACCAACCGUUCUUAUUUGUUUAUUUCUUUCUAUUGUGGAUCAGUUUAUGUUUGCAUUUUUCAUGACACGCAUCAAAUUAAAUAUUUGUAUUUGUUACUAUAAUAUUUAAGUUUCACUAUAUUUUUUUUUCUUCAAUUUCUAUGUUUUUUUUUAUCUUUUGAAAUUCUUAUCUGCUGUUGAAAAAUCGGUAUCACCACGAAUCAUUGUGUAGUCAUAAAAAAGAAUAAUGAUACAAUUUUUGUAUUAUAAUAUUAUAAUAUAUCGAGUGGUUCUUAUAUUUUUCAAGUAAACAUUUUCAUAAUAAAAAAUGUAACUUACCUUUUAUUGUGUAUAUGAUUUUCAUAUUAAUAAAUGAUGUAUAGUUGAUAUA